rnacentral:rRNA from 1 species
UACGAAGGGGGCUAGCGUUGCUCGGAAUCACUGGGCGUAAAGCGCACGUAGGCGGAUUGCUAAGUCAGGGGUGAAAUCCUGGAGCUCAACUCCAGAACUGCCUUUGAUACUGGUGAUCUUGAGUCCGGGAGAGGUGAGUGGAAUUCCCAGUGUAGCGGUGAAAUGCGUAGAUAUUGGGAGGAACACCAGUGGCGAAGGCGGCUCACUGGACCGGAACUGACGCUGAGGCGCGAAAGCGUGGGGAGCAAACGGGG